rnacentral:rRNA from 1 species
GUGGGGAAUAUUGGACAAUGGGCGAAAGCCUGAUCCAGCCAUGCCGCGUGUGUGAAGAAGGUCUUCGGAUUGUAAAGCACUUUAAGUUGGGAGGAAGGGCAUUAACCUAAUACGUUAGUGUUUUGACGUUACCGACAGAAUAAGCACCGGCUAACUUCGUGCCAGCAGCCGCGGUAAUACGAAGGGUGCAAGCGUUAAUCGGAAUUACUGGGCGUAAAGCGCGCGUAGGUGGUUUGUUAAGUUGAAUGUGAAAGCCCCGGGCUCAACCUGGGAACUGCAUCCAAAACUGGCAAGCUAGAGUAUGGCAGAGGGUGGUGGAAUUUCCUGUGUAGCGGUGAAAUGCGUAGAUAUAGGAAGGAACACCAGUGGCGAAGGCGACCACCUGGGCUCAUACUGACACUGAGGUGCGAAAGCGUGGGGAGCAAACAGG